rnacentral:rRNA from 1 species
GUCUACGGCCAUACCACCCUGAACGCGCCCGAUCUCGUCUGAUCUCGGAAGCUAAGCAGGGUCGGGCCUGGUUAGUACUUGGAUGGGAGGAAAGAGCCCUGGACUUGGCUGGGCC